ACGGCAGCACAGGGAAGCUUGCUUCUCGGGUGGCGAGUGGCGAACGGGUGAGUAACAUAUCGGAACGUACCGGGUAGCGGGGGAUAACUGAUCGAAAGAUCAGCUAAUACCGCAUACGUCUUGAGAGGGAAAGCAGGGGACCUUCGGGCCUUGCGCUAUCCGAGCGGCCGAUAUCUGAUUAGCUGGUUGGCGGGGUAAAGGCCCACCAAGGCGACGAUCAGUAGCGGGUCUGAGAGGAUGAUCCGCCACACUGGGACUGAGACACGGCCCAGACUCCUACGGGAGGCAGCAGUGGGGAAUUUUGGACAAUGGGCGCAAGCCUGAUCCAGCCAUGCCGCGUGUCUGAAGAAGGCCUUCGGGUUGUAAAGGACUUUUGUCAGGGAAGAAAAGGCCGUUG
rnacentral:rRNA from 1 species